AGGGAGACGAUUGAUCCCACCGUUUUGAGAAAGGGCUCAAAUUGCCGCUCGCGAAAGAGAGAAGUCAGAAGAGGGAAAAGAAAAAGAAUAUAGAGAAAGAAGAGUUAGAUGGAGGAGAGAGAAAUUACCUGAAUUGGCUUUUGGUUGGGUACGACAAUUACAGUCCCAAAGUGGCUCAAACGGAAAAGUUUUCUCUCUCCUCCUCUCUAAGGGUGUGUUUGAUAACAUAAGUUAGAAGCGGAAGAAAGAACUUCCCCAUUACUGUACAAGUUAUCGUGUUUGAUGGAAAAAGAAGACUUUAAAUGGGAACUCUACUAUACUGUUUAUGUUCGUACUCUCGCGUGUAAAAAAAUCCAAAGCUUAAAAUAGGAAGUUGGUUUCGGACUUACCUCCCCAAACUUCUUCAUGCAACCCCCGAUAACCCUAGCCCUCUUCGUCCCUUCUUCCCAUAGCCAUUGAGCACCCUCUCUUCCCAUGUCUCCAUCUUCGCCAUUGAGCACCCUCUCUUUGCAGCAUGACCCCUCUCCUCGAGUUCAGCCCUGAGCCAGUGCCCUAUUCGCAGCACGAUCCCUCUCUUCGCGCUCAGCCCUCAGCCAACUCUCUGUUCGCAGCACGCCAUUAUCUCAGGCAGGCUCUUCUCUUCAUAUGCAGCCCUCGCUAGAGUCUACUCAGCUGUCAUUGAGCUCUGAUUCUUGCUAUUGAUUAAGAUGGGAUGGAAGUAGGAGGAUAGUAACCACCGGGGUUGCUGUUUGGAAUGACUUCCUAACGGAGAAUGAAUGGACAAACAAAUACCAAAACAAGACUUUGCCCAAGUAUUCGCUGCUAAGUAAAAUCUAUGAGGGUGAAACGACAGAUGGGACGUAAAAAUCUAUUGGCAGUGGCAUCAGAAUUGAGCGAGAAAGGCCCAACCAUGCAUUCUUUGACAACCCCCCAUUAGAAGUCUAGGAUGAAUCUAACUCAUCAUCAUCUGAUGAGCUAGUAUUAUCUGGAUAAAAAAGACGACGGUCCCAUACUCUGAUAGGAGCACAACGCCGAUCAAAGCAAAUCGCCCACUUUGAGUCCAUGACUUUAGCCAUGACAAAGAUGGCUCAUAGCAUUGAGAUGCUGGCAUGUGACACUACAGGUAACAACAGUACUCCUGUGGUGGAUGGUCCGUCCAAGGCUAGGAGAGAUGCUUGUAAAAUUGCUGAAGGCAUGUGAAAAGCAGGUGAAGUAGGUGAUGCUGUCCUUUUAACAGCGUCAAGGACUUCAAAGAUUCUAUAAAGGCGGAGAUGUUACAAAACUUGGAGGAUCCAAGGAUACAAAAGACUUACUUAGAUGAAGAGAUGAAACACCUCCAAUAGAGUUCUGAUUGACUAUGUUUAAUUUUAACAUCAAAGACUGCUUCUUUCAAUUGUAUGUGGAUGGCUUAUGUCAUUUUAAUGUCAAAUAUUGCUUCAUGGUUUGCUUUAUAGA